rnacentral:rRNA from 1 species
GACGAACGCUGGCGGCGUGCUUAACACAUGCAAGUCGAACGGAAAGGCCCCGCUGGGGGUACUCGAGUGGCGAACGGGUGAGUAACACGUGAGUAAGUAGCCCUUGACUUCGGGUUAACUACCGGAAACUAGGGCUAAUACCGGAUAGGAAUCCGUGCUGCAGGGUGGGGGGGGGAAGGCUUCGGCGGUUGUGGAUGGACUCGCGGCGUAUCAGCUUGUUGGUGGGGGAGUGGCUUACCAAGGAGGUGACGGGUAGGCGGCCUGAGAGAGUGAGAGGCCACACAGGGACUGAGAGGCGGCACAGACUCCUACGGGAGGCAACAGUGGGGAAUAUUGCACAAGGAGCGCAGGGCUGAUGCAGAAACGCCGCGUGUGGGAUAACUCCCUUCUCGGGGUAGACACCGUUCAGGCGAGUCGCGGCUUGUGAUGACGGUACCUGAAGAAGAAGCACCGGCUAACUACGUG